rnacentral:lncRNA from 1 species
GCUGAGAUGCUUGUCAUGGCUUACGGCAGGUCAUAUGGUUUACCUGUUAUUACAACCCGGGGUAAUAAUGUCUAUGGUCCUAAUCAGUUUCCAGAAAAGUUGAUCCCAAAGUUCAUCCUUUUAGCCAUGAGGGGAAUGCAACUUCCUAUUCAUGGGGAUGGUGCCAAUGUGCGCAGUUAUCUCUACUGCGAGGACGUUGCUGAGGCCUUUGAGGUUGUUCUUCACAAGGGAGAAGUUGGCCAUGUUUAUAAUAUUGGGACAAAGAAGGAAAGGAGAGUUACUGAUGUUGCCAGAGACAUCUGUAAACUUUUUUCUGUGGACCCAGAAACAAAUAUUAACUAUGUAGAGAACAGGCCAUUCAAUGAUCAGAGGUAUUUCCUAGAUGAUCAGAAGUUGAAAAACUUGGGCUGGGCUGAGCGCACUACAUGGGAAGAAGGGCUAAAAAAGACUAUGGACUGGUACACUAGCAACCCUGAUUGGUGGGGAGAUGUAUCUGGAGCAUUGCUUCCUCAUCCAAGAAUGCUGAUGAUGCCUGGUGGAAUUGAGAGACACUUUGACGGAUCUGAAAACCGUGACGCUGAAUCAACCCGUUUCGUGGAUAAAUC